UUUGCGUGCGCCGGUCACGCGGCUGGUGUUGACACUUCCGGGUGGGACCAAAGGGAGGCGGCGGGGCAGGGGCUGGCACCUCCCGCAGCGACCAUGGCGUAUACCGGCCUCACCGUGCCUCUCAUCGUGAUGAGCGUGUUCUGGGGCUUCGUCGGCUUCCUGGUGCCCUGGUUCAUCCCUAAGGGUCCCAACCGGGGAGUAAUUAUCACCAUGUUGGUGACCUGUUCUGUUUGCUGCUAUCUCUUUUGGCUGAUUGCAAUUCUGGCCCAACUCAACCCUCUCUUUGGACCACAGUUGAAAAAUGAAACCAUCUGGUACCUCAAGCAUCAUUGGCCUUGAGGAAGAAGACCUGCUCGCCAGUGCUCAGUCAUUGAGGCCUAAACAAUGAGGAAGUCUGACCAUAUGCUCGUCAUAGGAAUGUAACAUGCAAAACAUCUGAAUUCACGGCUUCAGGUCACGAAGAGAACUCCUCUAGAUGCAAAAUCACCUCCAUACCCAGACCACCUUCCUUGACUCGCCGCCCACUUUGGCCAUCAGCUGCCUUAAACGUUCAUACCACCUUUGAAUAUCUUAUCCUACAGUGCAGUAUUUUUUCCUGUUGCUUUUUUUAUACUUUGAUGAAUAAUGUGCCUAUUGAAUCUAAACUGUGCUGCCUCUAUAAAAUGUUUAUGUACUCUUCCGAGAUAGAAAGUGCUGUUCUUCUGAGAAAUAACGUAACUCUCUCCUUGGAACCUGUGGAUUUGAAGAAUGGCUCCUGCCUGCUCACAACAGGAGAAUUCAGUGAAGUACUUAAAAACUGUCACGUGGCAGUAAGACUCCCGUGGCGCAGUCAGUAGGAGGACACAUUCAGAGGGAACAUCUGUCCCACCAGAAUUAUACCAAAGUAUCUUUUCAGGAUAAAUUUCUUAUUUCUGCCCUCUUUUGGAAUAAAUUAUUUUUCUUCUUUCUGUGGAAA